GAUGAACGCUAGCGGCAGGCCUAAUACAUGCAAGUCGAACGGUAAGGCCCUUUCGGGGGUACACGAGUGGCGGACGGGUGCGUAACGCGUAUGCAACAUGCCUUCCAGCGGGGGAUAUACCAGGGAAACUUGGCGCAAUACCCCCAUAGAAUUACGGGACCGCAUGGGUCUUGUGAUUAAAAACUCCGGUGCUGGGAGAUUGGCAUGCGUGACAUUAGCUAGUUGGCGGGGUAAGGCCCACCAAGGCGACGAUGUCUAGCUGGUCUGAGAGGAUGAUCAGCCACACUGGGACUGAGACACGGCCCAGACUCCACGGGAGGCAGCAGUAGGGAAUAUUGGACAAUGGGGGGAACCCUGAUCCAGCCA
rnacentral:rRNA from 1 species